UACAGAGGGUGCGAGCGUUAAUCGGAAUUACUGGGCGUAAAGGGCGCGUAGGCGGUCAGAUAAGUCAGCUGUGAAAACCUCGGGCUUAACCCGAGGCCUGCAGUUGAAACUGUUUGGCUGGAGUGUGGGGAGAGGAGAGUGGAAUUCCCGGUGUAGCGGUGAAUGCGUAGAUAUCGGGAGGAACACCGGUGGCGAAGGCGGCUCUCUGGACCAGCUACUGACGCUGAGGCGCGAAAGCUAGGGGAGCAAACAGG
rnacentral:rRNA from 1 species